GAAGAUCUCAAGCACCCAAUGAACUAGUAGAUAAUAAAAGAAUAAUUCAAAUGCAUAAACUUGCAAUGAACUUCAAACAAGGAGUAAACCUCGUGUAAUACAUCAAUGAAUAAAGAAAACUGUCUCAAGGGGCAUCCUAGCAAUUAAUUAACUUUAUAAAAAGCAAAUGUAUUAUUAUAGUAUCAGGAAUAACAAAAAUCGUAAUUGUCCAAAGUCUUGAUGAUUACGUUCCAUUAGAUCAAAUUGUCGUUUGGCCACCAUUUCCAACAAAUCACCAAGACUUUCCUGCACAUUUAAAAUAGAAUUAGUAAUUAGAUAGAAAUCAAUAGUAUGCAAGUGCAAACUCAGAGCAAUUUAACAAAGUUGCCCCUUGAAAAUUUAAAUACCAAGCACUAUUCUAAGAACAUAUGUCUGUUAUAAGUAUAAGACUUGAGCCUAACCUAAACUAGUAGGGGUACGCUAUAAUACUCUUCUCAAUAUUUAUCAGUUUUCUCAUUAGUAGUUUUUUUUUUGUGCAUUGGCAUCAACACUUUCUUUUGUAUUUUGCAUUAUCAUCAACACUUUCUUUUGUACUUCUGUGAAAAAUACAUAUCAGAAAAUAGAAGGAAAAAAGAAGAUACUUUCAAAUUUCAAUCAGUUGUGUCCAUUACCGGAACACAAGUAUACAUUCACUCGAUCAUGUCCAAUAUAGAAAGACAUAUCCAAAUUAACAGCUGAUAGGACGAUCCUAUUACAGAUAAAGAAAGAUCCAAGAAAAUAAUGGGUUUGAUGAGUACGACUUUAUAAUCCCAAAUUGAUGAUAAUCAGAUUUAAGAGUAAAUUACAUAUACAUAAACUUUCAUAUCUUCAAUGAGAAUGUAAAAAAAGAUACAACUCGCGAACUAUGUAUCAUGCAAUAUGUAAUGGAUAAAAGAAUCAAUCAAUUAUUCUAUCAUUAACAUUUACAAGUUUCAACUUACUCUUUGUUUCUACCAACUCAACCUUAUCAAUUUUACAAUAGUUCAACAUUAAAAGCUUGUUCAAAAGCACCUCCAAAUAGAAUAGUGUACUAAAAUUCCAUAACAUAUCUCUCAGUACCAAAGAGAAUAUUAGCUUCAUCUUUAAAUGAAAACAAUGUUGGCAUAGGCUAACACGUUUACAUGACAUCUCAAUACCUAAUCACAUAGUAAAUAUAUAUUAAGAACUUUGUCCCUGUCAUUUAAGUACUUUAAUAUUGGUUUCGUAUUUUGAUGCACAUGGAAAUUAUUCCUUUCUAACAUGUAAUUGUGAAUCUCAUGACAUGUAUAUGUUUGGGUUAUCAAUUGUACCUUUGAUGUUGUACGUUCAUCAAAAUCCAUAUGGAGCAGACCCCUAGCCAAUUUUGAGAUUAAUAAUUCUCUGAAAACCUUGUCCUCCUACAAAUAGCCACAAGACAUUAACUCUAUAACUGACAAAAUAAACUAGACAGGAAAAUCUUAUAAAUAAAUAUUCGAAAGACAAUCAAAACCACCACAAAGAAAACAGUAGAGAUGAAAAUGUUAGGACCUCAUAUAGCAAAUCCAAGUGAAACUACUAUGCAAUCCUGUAAAGGACAGCUGGAAACAAAUUUGUAUCGAUAAGACAAUAGCAUACCCCUUCCGCUCCAUUUCUACUUCCUUUGUUUGACCAGAACUUAAAUUGUCAAGGUAUAAUAACUGAGUUUGCACUAAUUAGUUGAAAUGUCUACUCAAAAAUUCUAAAAGACAAUAAAAUAUUAUGUAUAAUGGUGCAAUUGAUUUCUUGUGAUCUGUUUAGUAAAGGACAAUAAACAUGAUUAAGCAUGUGCAAAUACAUAAACCUGCACCUGCACCUAACUAAACGUUUUUGCAUGCUAAUUAAGACAGAACUUUAUGGUGUGCUUUAUAUAAAAUUCACCUUCAAAACUCCAGUAUAUCCUCCAGAAAUGCUCUCUUCAAUAACAUCGAGGCAGGCUGUAUAUGUAUAAUGUGCAUGCCUGGAGAAGUCUUCAAAACAUGUUGUCUAGUAGUUUCUAGGAUAGCAGAUGACUCAUGUAUAGGUUCAAUCUUAUCUAUCCUUUGAAGUCUAUUAGUACGAGCUUUACGUCCUUUUGCGAUAUGUAAUGCCUGGAUAGAAGAAAUUACUAAGAGGUCUUAAGAAGAUACCACAUCAUAGAUAAUACCCAACUCCUUCCUUCAUCAGAAGUAUUGAUCUUGAAUGAUUGUCACAUGGUAAUAACUAGUUUUAAGUACAAAUAUAGGUGGAAAGGAAAAGAAUACAACACCCGAUUCUUCUUGCAUUUAGAUAAUCUUUUAACUACGAAAAAAUGUCAAUCAGUUCAAACAUUAAUAAAUAUUACUGGAAGAAGCUAUGUAAGAAUGGGCUAUCUUUUUUGCCAAUUUCAACAUAACUAAAUCGGCUUCGACCCAUUGAAUUUGUUAUGUAAGAAUUGGGGAUAAAGCAAGAUCUCGGACAAGCAACAACAAUCUAAAGAAGCAAGACAUUUUUACCUCCACAACUAAAUAAUUCCAACCUUCAGUUCAGGUAGACCUAGUUCAGCUCUACAUGAUGCAAUUCGAGCACUGCACCACUAGAAUAAACCAAUGAUAUAAACAUGUCAGCUUAAAAACUGAAGGCUACAAUAGUGUAAAACCAUGAAGUUGAGCAGUACAAUUUACGAAAAUAACAAACCAUACCCUAUUCUAAGAACCUACCACUGGCAAAUCCUUGAACAGUAGCAACAAAAGGAUUCUUUCUAUCUAGAAUAACCAACAUUAGAACAAAUAAUUUAUUGAUAAUUUAUCUAUGUCAGUAUUUAAACACCAAAGAACAUCUAUAGAUUCUCAAAAAUAUGACCAAAGACUUAGGGACGAAAACAAAUUAGCAACCUACUUAAAUAGUUCAACUCCUACAGUCACAAGCAUGAUAUGGAGAACAGAGUUUUAAAUGAUUCUUAAAAUCUGGAGAAAAAUUGUGAGCUUGCAACAGCAAGCCUUAACUUUUGGCAAAGAAAAAGAGAAACUCACUAAGGUAGAGAACAAACUACAAGAGGAAGAAAAGGAGUGAGCAAAAUCAAAGUAGUGGAAGUGGGUAUUGAAGUAUUAGUGGUAAUAUUAGCAAUUACAGAGCAAAUUACAUGGAUGAGUGAUCUGCGAGUAAGUCUCUGGGUAUUGGACGACAAUGGAGAUACUAUCAAGGUGGGUGGGAAGAACCAAAACCCUAAUUCAAGCCUUAAUCGAAGAAUUCAAAUAAUCAAAACCCUAAACUGGAAACAACUAAAAAUAAAGGGCCAGGAGGUUACCAUUUCAAGACUUAAUCAAAAUAAAGGGCCAGGAGGUUACCAUUUCAAGACUUAAUCAACCAUUAAUGUGGAAGCAGCGAUAACAGCAGCAACAGAGGUGGUGGAAGAUGCGGCAGUAAAAAUGGAAAUUUCUUCAGCACCAUCAAUUCGAUGGAGGUGUGGGAUAAAAAAUGGGCAAAUAUUUCCUGUACUAUCCUUUUUCGUUUUAGCUUGCUUUUGGCCG
rnacentral:lncRNA from 1 species